UUCUUAUACAUACUGGUUGUAUCUCGCUCGGCGAGCUUUUGCAUACCUGGAUGUAUGUAUGUAUAUGGAAGUUGUUCCUAUUUUUACCAGUUUUAUUCGAUCAGCUCUAUACUACACUUUGUAGUAUUGUAUGUUUUACAGGUACAGUUAUCGCUUCAUAUAUAGGAAAAAUUCUUUUGUAUAUGGCGGAUUUGUCGGCGGGCCGAGAGAACGUGCAAUUCGGGGCGUGACAAUUUGAGACUAAGUUAUACUGUUUGAUAUUUACUUUUCAAAUAAUUUUAAAUUAUGUAAGUUUUAAACAGUGUAAUGUAAUUUAAAACAGUGUAACUUACUCUAAAGCUAUGCAACUUUUAUUUUAUAUGGUACAGCUUAGUCUCUAAUAGCUUUAAAUGGUACAACUUUAUUCAAAAAGUAUAAGUUUUGUCUCAAAAAAUACAACUUUCACUCAAAGAGUGAUAGUUUCGUCUCAAACAUUGUUAUUUUCGUCUCAAACAAUAUAAAUUUUCUUCAUAUAGUAUAACUUUCGUCCAAAAAGUAUAAUUUUUGUAUCAAAGACUGUAAUUUUUUCUCAACGAGUGCAACUUUAUUUUAAAAUAGCGCUACUUCAUCUUCAUCUUCUUUUUUCUUUGAUUUUUUAUUUUUUUCUGUACCAGCGAUGAUAUAUAAUGGUCUUUCAAAAAGGAAAAUUUUUUUCUUAUUUUUUUCUUUUUGUUCUUUACUUUUUUUUUUUUCUACUAUCUACUUCUUUUUUUAUUAUCGCGUCCUCUCCCUCAUCCUCUACCGCAGUCACCGCCCUCGCUAUACAUGCUCUCCCGCCCCGUGGUUCUUAUAUCCUUCGGUACCCUCAUUGCCGUCACUAUCCGCGAGCAUGUGCUCCGCUACAAGUUUACCUCACAUAAUUUAUAUUAUAAGUAUAAGUUUUGUCUCAAAAAAUACAACUUUCACUCAAAGAGUGAUAGUUUCGUCUCAAACAUUGUUAUUUUCGUCUCAAACAAUAUAAAUUUUCUUCAUAUAGUAUAACUUUCGUCCAAAAAGUAUAAUUUUUGUAUCAAAGACUGUAAUUUUUUCUCAACGAGUGCAACUUUAUUUUAAAAUAGCGCUACUUCAUCUUCAUCUUCUUUUUUCUUUGAUUUUUUAUUUUUUUCUGUACCAGUGAUGAUAUAUAAUGGUCUUUCA
rnacentral:lncRNA from 1 species